rnacentral:lncRNA from 1 species
CUGGCUACCAUGUUAGGAGGACACUCAAGCCGCCCUAUGGAGAGGUCCAUGUGGUGAGAAGUUAAGGCUUCCUGCCAACAAUCAGUGUGGAACUGAGUCCUCUAGCCAACAGCCAUACCAAGUUUCAUUUUCCCUUUUAAAAGCUCACUGGAUGCGGUGUGGAGAACCGAUUAGACGAAUUUCAGGGUUACCUCCUGUGGGUCUGGAACUGGCCUGAGAUGAGCUGCUGAAGGGACAGAUGUACCUGCACAGAACUGGCCUCUCGUCAAGACUUAAAAGUCUGAAGUGUUACUUUGUAACCAGGAGUCCAAGAUUGUUACAAGAAUGGCUCCCACUCAAUCGGCUUUCCAGUCUCCAGCCUGGGUGCAGAGCCCUCCCACACUGAUGGCCAUGUGACUUGCUUUGACCAAUGGCACAUGAGGAAACAUGUUACAAGCAGAGAAUUAAAAAAUGCUUGGACGUGAGGCUUGCCCUCUCUUGCUCCCUGAGAAUGCCGUAUGAGGAAGCCUGAGCUAGCCCACUGGAGGCGAAGGAGCAGAGAGUCGUAGCCCAGCUGAGGCCUCCUAGAUCCAUCAGCUUUCAGCCAGUCUACAAACUGACUGUCACCACAAGAGUGACCCUACACAAAACCCAUCCAGCUGUGCUCAGCCCAAAUUACUAACCCAAAG